UACGAAGGGGGCGAGCGUUGUUCGGAAUGACUGGGCGUAAAGGGCGCGUAGGCGGUCCGUUGCGUCGGGCGUGAAAGCCCCGGGCUCAACCCGGGAACGGCGCUCGAUACGGGCGGGCUUUGAGUCCGGAAGAGGGUGGUGGAAUUCCCAGUGUAGAGGUGAAAUUCGUAGAUAUUGGGAAGAACACCGGUGGCGAAGGCGGCCACCUGGUCCGGCACUGACGCUGAGGCGCGAAAGCGUGGGGAGCAAACAGG
rnacentral:rRNA from 1 species